UAUAUAUAUAUAUAUAUAUAUUGUCACGGGAGGAGCACAAGACAGACACAGUGGGCGUGGCGUCAGGCCUCGGAGAGGCUUUUAUUAACAGAAAUCAUAAAAUAACACAGGGCAUAAAAGUGGCCAAAGGGGGAAAGUGUCCAAAAUAACAGGGAAUCUGGUGCCCUCGUCGUGCUGCGGGAUUUGUGUAGGUCGGGCAGUGUUCAUCAAGGAAGGGUCCAGGCAAGGGGCGGAGUCCGGCGGCCGCACGCGCUCCCCUCCUUGGUCCGGGGCGCGAGGGGCGGCGGCUUCUCCUAGCGGCCGCGUCUCUCUCGUUGGCCGCGGCGCUGGUAGGGGAUGGACGGCCCGGCAUCCUGGCCCGUCGGCCGUGUAUACGGGUGCGGUUCCCUUCCGGAUCGCGGGUCCGGCAGCUCACGUCUUGGUGGCGCGGGAGUCCCUCAACGCACCCUUCCUGGACCCACGAGGACACCAGUGUGCAUGCACGGGGAAGAGACCGGUCUCCUGAGGAGAGGCGCGUUGGGCUUUUAACCAGCGGCGGUAAUGAGGCUCCACUUCCUUCAGGUGUGCCCCAUCACACGCCGCCAGCCCUGACUCGUCCAGCGCCCCUCCUCUCACACCCACUCCAGUCGGGAGCCUGGUGAAGGGCGGCGAUUUAGGACGGGGUGCCGGUGACAAUCAGGGAGGAGGCAGCUGACUCGUCACAUUCCCCCUCCCAAGCGACAUCCCCGUCAUCAGGGCGCCGCCCACACGGGAGUGCUACCAUCCUCAACCAGGCUCCAAACGGUCGGAGUGGGCGGGGAUUCCUCUCCGGGCGGUCCUCCCUCUCGCAGCGCACCGGAACAGGGACAGAGAAACCGGGUUUUAGUGACAGCCUCAACCAACCACAGGGUAAAAUGACAAUAACAGAAGUCACUUACCCUUUUUGUGGCUGGGAGGCUGUCCCCAGUUUUCCUCCGUCCCAGUCCGGGUUCUCAUGAACGUUUGCAAGCGAGAGGGAGUGACGUCACCAGAUGUUUCCCAACUGCGCUGUCUAGGCUCCGCCUUGCCCGCAUUCUCCACCAGUGUCACGGGAGGAGCACAAGACAGACACAGUGGGCGUGGCGUCAGGCCUCGGAGAGGCUUUUAUUAACAGAAAUCAUAAAAUAACACAGGGCAUAAAAGUGGCCAAAGGGGGAAAGUGUCCAAAAUAACAGGGAAUCUGGUGCCCUCGUCGUGCUGCGGGAUUUGUGUAGGUCGGGCAGUGUUCAUCAAGGAAGGGUCCAGGCAAGGGGCGGAGUCCGGCGGCCGCACGCGCUCCCCUCCUUGGUCCGGGGCGCGAGGGGCGGCGGCUUCUCCUAGCGGCCGCGUCUCUCUCAUUGGCCGCGGCGCUGGUAGGGGAUGGACGGCCCGGCAUCCUGGCCCGUCGGCCGUGUAAACGGGUGCGGUUCUCCUCCGGAUCGCGGGUCCGGCAGCUCACGUCUUGGUGGCGCGGGAGUCCCUCAACGCUCCCUUCCUGGACCCACGAGGACACCAGCGUGCAUGCACGGGGAAGAGACCGGUCUCCUGAGGAGAGGCGCGUUGGGCUUUUAAACAGCGGCGGUAAUGAGGCUCCACUUCCUUCAGGUGUGCCCCAUCACACGCCGCCAGCCCUGACUCGUCCAGCGCCCCUCCUCUCACACACCCACUCCAGUCGGGAGCCUGGUGAAGGGCGGCGAUUUAGGACGGGGUGCCGGUGACAAUCAGGGAGGAGGCAGCUGACUCGUCACAUUCCCCCUCCCAAGCGACAUCCCCGUCCCCAGGGCGCCACCCACACGGGAGUGCUACCAUCCUCAACCAGGCUCCAAACGGUCGGAGUGGGCGGGGCUUCCUCUCCGGGCGGUCCUCCCUCUCGCAGCGCACCAGAACAGGGACAGAGAAACCGGGUUUUAGUGACAGCCUCAACCAACCACAGGGUAAAAUGACAAUGGAAAAGUCACUUACCCCUUGUGUGGCUGGGAGGCUGUCCCCAGUUUUCCUCCGUCCCAGUCUGGGUUCUCACGAACGUUUGCAAGCGAGAGGGGGGUGACGUCACCAGACGUUUCCCAACUGCGCUGUCUAGGCUCCGCCUGCCCGCAUUCUCCACCAGUGUCACGGGAGGAGCACAAGACAGACACAGUGGGCGUGGCGUCAGGCCUCGGAGAGGCUUUUAUUAACAGAAAUCAUAAAACAAAGGGAAUAAAAGUGGCCAAAGGGGGAAAGUGUCCAAAAUAACAGGGAAUCUGGUGUCCUCGUUGUGCUGCGGGGUUUGUGUGGGUCGGGCAGUGUUCACCGAGGAAGGGUCCAGGCAAGGGGCGGAGUCCGGCGGCCG